UUUUCCUCCCUCUUCACUUUUUCCUCUAUAGACCUUUUGUCCCACCCUUUGGCUGUGGGUGGCUUAGCCAUAGAAUUACCUCACUGUGGGACACCUUCACUUUGGAGGAACUUGUGGAAUGCUAUAUGGCUGCACAUCACUUUGUGACAAGCAGGGCUGGUAUGGUACUGCAUUGACCCUUGUCCCCUUAGCUAUGUGCUCUGGAGGAGGCAUGCAUGCCAGCUAUUGUACCUUUCCUGCCUGGCUGAGGUAGCUCAGGAUCACAUUGGGAGCCUGAAGAUGCUGACACACUCUCAAGUUCAGGCUCACUGCAGGUUUCCCAGGUACCUGCACCUGGCAUGUCACAGGGGCUCUGGGUGUGGCCUAUAGCCUGAAGUAAACACUUACUUCCAGCAACCUGUGCCAAAAACAACUAGGUUUCCUCACACCAUUGUGCUCUUUGCUUUGAAUGGGCAGCAGGCUGAGAAAUAGUAUUUACUUAGCAGGAACUCCAAUCUCAAUUUGCAAGUUAUCAGUAGUCCCUGAAGGGCUUGUUGAAUUUCCAACAACAGUUUUCCUAGAGUCUCCCUCUGCUUCUUUGGCAUAGUUGGGCCAAAGUGGACCAUGCAGAAAGUGUCACUUUGCAGCCAGGGACUUUGUAAUAUCAGCCCCUUUCCCUAGCCAUGAACGCAGGAUGAUUUCAUUCUUUUCCCUUGAUCUUCCCUGCUGUUCUCAGCCACUGUAGUAAAUAACACCACAGUGUAAGCAGGAAGGAUAUGGCAGGACUGGCUCCCUUUCCUAGCUCCCUUACCAAUAAAGUCAUCUAAAGAGACUUGAUGUUCAAAAAACUGAGGGCAGGACCAUGGCACUGUGAUAGAGUGCAUCAUACCAUGAGUAAGGUCCCAGCUCCCAACUGAAGCACUGAAAAAACAAAGUAACAAUACUGUUUGGGGCCAGCAUGGUAUGGUAGCUCAGUAGGUAAAAGUAUUUGCCCCCAAGUCUAAUAAACAUAUUCAAAUUCCAUGGGCACCAUAUGAUAGGAGAACCUACUCCCUUACAUUACCUUCUGACCUCUAUACCUUCACUGUGGCAGGUACAUGCACAAAAACACAUGGUAAAUAAAUAAAUUUAUUUUUGUUCAUCAUUGUCUUAUUUUUCUAUUGCUGUGAUAAAAACAUUGAGAAAGGCACACUGUAAAAGAACUUUGCCUUAUGGUUUCAAAGGAUUAGAGUUUGUAAUGGCAGAGGGAAUGGCUGUCUGGGAGCUCACAUUGUGAUCCACAAGCACUAGGCAGAGAGAGACCCUGCCCCUGCUGAGAUAACUCUUCCUAAUAAAGCCACACUUCCUAAUCCAUCCCAAAUAGUCCCACCAUCCGGGGACUAAGUGUUUAAAGAUACAUACCUGUGGAGGAUAUUCUUAUUCAAACAACUACAAUUAUUUUUAAAUAUAUUUUUAUUUUAUAUGUAUGAGUGUUAUACCUGCUUGUAUGGAUAUGCAUACCAUGUACAUACACUGCCUGAAUAAAUUAAAAAAAAAAAAACAGAUGUGAUAGUAUAAGCUUUGAAUCCCAACAGUAGAGGCAGAGGCAAGUGGACCUCAGUGAGCUUGAAGCUGUAGAGGGCUACAUGGUAGAACCCUGCCUUUUAAAAAAGAAAAGGAUGGGGGUUGGGGAUUUAUCUCAGUGGUAGAGCGCUUGCCUAGCAAGCACAAGGCCCUGGGUUCGGUCCCCAGCUCUGAAAAGAAAAAAAAAAAAAAA
rnacentral:lncRNA from 1 species